GUGUCAGCAGCCGCGGUAAAACGUAGGAAGCGAGCGUUAUCCGGAUUUACUGGGCGUAAAGCGCGUGUAGGCGGUUUGAUAAGUUGGAUGUGAAAUCUCCUGGCUCAACUGGGAGGGGUCGUUCAAAACUAUCAGACUAGAGGACAGUAGAGGAAGGUGGAAUUCCCGGUGUAGUGGUGAAAUGCGUAGAUAUCGGGAGGAACACCAGUGGCGAAAGCGGCCUUCUGGACUGUAUCUGACGCUCAGACGCGAAAGCUAGGGGAGCGAACGGGAUUAGAAACCCCCGUAGUCC
rnacentral:rRNA from 1 species